rnacentral:rRNA from 1 species
AACGAACGCUGGCGGCAUGCCUAACACAUGCAAGUCGAACGAGACCUUCUGGUCUCGUGGCUCACGGGUGCGUAACGCGUGGGAACCUGCUAUUAGGUUCGGAAUAACUCCCCGAAAGGGGUGCUACUACCGGAUAAUGUCUUCGGACCAAAGAUUUAUCUCCUUUGGAUGGGCCCGCGUUGGAUUAGCUAGUUGGUAGGGUAAAAGCCUACCAAGGCGACGAUCCAUAGCUGGUCUGAGAGGAUGAUCAGCCACACUGGGACUGAGACACGGCCCAGACUCCUACGGGAGGAAGCAGUGGGGAAUAUUGGACAAUGGGCGAAAGACUGAUCCAGCAAUGCCGCGUGAGUGAUGAAGGCCUUAGGGUUGUAAAGCUCUUUUACACGGGAUGAUAAUGACAGUACCGGGAGAAUAAGCUCCGGCUAACUACGUG